CGAAUCGCCCUUCGGGGUGCAGAGGCGCGAAAACUUUACAAUGCUGGCAACAGCGAUAAGGGGACCUCGAGUGCCAGGAUACAAUCUUGGCUGUCGUGAUGCCUAAAAAGCAUUACAUAGCAAGGGCCGGGCAAGACCGGUGCCAGCCGCCGCGGUAACACCGGCGGCUCGAGUGGUAACCGCUAUUAUUGGGUCUAAAGGGUCUGUAGCCGGCCGGAUAAGUCUCUUGGGAAAUCCAGCAGCUCAACUGUUGGGCUUCCAGGGGAUACUGUUCGGCUCGAGGCCGGGAGAGGUGAGAGGUACUUCAGGGGUAGGGGUGAAAUCUUGUAAUCCUUGAAGGACCACCAGUGGCGAAGGCGUCUCACCAGAACGGUCCUGACGGCAAGGGACGAAAGCUAGGGGCACGAACCGGAUUAGAUACCCGGGUAGUCCUAGCCGUAAACGAUACUCGCUAGGUGUCGGCCACGGUGCGACCGUGGUCGGUGCCGUAGGGAAGCCGUGAAGCGAGCCACCUGGGAAGUACGGCCGCAAGGCUGAAACUUAAAGGAAUUGGCGGGGGAGCAC
rnacentral:rRNA from 1 species